UGAUCGCUGCCCGGCUCGUCAGGAUACUUUCCCCGGGGCCUUAAAUUCUCAAAUGGGAGCUACCUCUGCCCGGAUCGUGGUCCGGUGCACGCGGCGCCCACCUGGUCCAUCGGGUCCAGGGCGAACGCAAAUCCAACGGCCAGGGCGGCACUUUA
rnacentral:other from 1 species